rnacentral:tRNA from 1 species
GCCUGGGUGGCUCAGUGGUUGAGCAUUUGACUUCAGCUCAGGUUGUGAUCUCGGGGUCCUGGGAUCGAGUCCCACAUCAGGUU